CUGAUCUGAAGUGAUCUGCCCACCUCGGCUUCCCAAAGUGCUGGGAUUACAGGCGUGAGCCACUGCGCCUGGCCCCUUCAGGUGGGUAUUGAGGCUUCACUACAAUACUAGUUCCCCGUUGCUGCCGCAAUAAAUUACCACACACUUAGUGGCUUAAAACAGCACAGAGGUAUUCCUUUACAUUUCUGAAGGCCAGAAUUCUAAAGUCAGUCCCACUGAGUCAACGUGGGAGCAGGGUCAGUGCCUUCCCAGGCUCUGCGGGAGAAUCUGUUUCCUGGCCCUGGAGGCGGCCUGUACUCCUCAGCUUGUGCUGCCCUUCUCGAAUGACUCGCGUUUCCUGCUUUCAUCACUACACCUCCCACCGCUCUCCAUCACCUGCUCUGCUCUUAUAAGGAUCCAGUUUUCAGAAAAAUGGAAUAGUCGUAUCACUGAUCUACGUAAACAAGUUGAAGAAUUGUCUGAAAGAAAAUACAGUGUGUCUAAACUGGAAAAGUCCUGUAAUAGUUUGUUCAUGAGCAUUUACACAAUGGAGUUGCUGUUUCAUCAUGGGGGUACUGUGGACAAACCCAGGGCUGCUGACAUGAACUUAUGAAUUCAACACAUGAAGAUUUACAGCUUGACAAACCAGCUUCAGGAGGGAUUGUGCUGCAUUCGAACAUAGGUUCUGCCAUCAAACACAGAAUGCCCUGAUCCUUAGAGGCAGAGGCAGCUCUUCAGCCUAUGGGGGAGGCAGACCAGUUUUACAAAUAGCUGCUGGCCUGGAGAAUAACAGUUUCUACCAAGAAUCCUGACUACUCUGUGUCUGAUGACUGGAACUUACCGAGCGCUGCUUAGUUGCAUCAUAGACACCACCUGUCUUUGAACAGCUACCCUGCCUCUUGAUGAGAAUGCAAAGGCUGCCAGGGGCCACUGCUGUAUGGAGUGGAUUUCGGUCAUUUCUGCUUAGAGCACAGAGCUCAAGCUGUUGGACUCGCCGAGGCAGUAAAAGUACCAUAUCCUGUGUUUGAAUCAAACUCCAAUUUCCUGUAUAUAGAAGGCUUGCCAGACAGGAUUCCCUUCCGAAGCCCUACCUGGUUUGGAAUUCCAUGACUUGAAAGGAUCCUUCGUGGGAGUAAUAAAAUCAAGUUUGUUGUUAAAAACUUUGCAGUCCCCAAAAAAACCAUGAAGCCCUGAGAGUAAUGAAAAGCUUCCUGACAUUGAGGUCACUGUGGAAGAACCACCUAAGCUAAAGAUUCUUUUGAGAACAAGGGCUAGCCUGUGGUUUCAUGGCCUUUCUUCCAUUUGGGGUUCUUGCCAAGUGGAAUUUAAAUGACCUCUUAUCAAGAUGGAUAAACCCAAGUUUCCCAGUGCUGGAAUACAGAAAAUGGAUGGACAAGAUGUCUUUUUGUCACUUCCAGCUGGAUCUACCAUGAAAGACGUCAGAGUCCAGGAAGAGAGACUGACUGGGCAACAUGUUAUUCAGAAUUAGAGAAGAUGAUGUGGUGAUGGAAGAAGAGGUCAGAGAGGGAGAUUUGAAGAUGUUGCAGUUCUGGCCUUCAAGAUGGAGUCAGGGGCUAUCUUCAAGAGAGAAGAUCUUGAUCUGUGGCCCAGGCUGCAGUACAGU
rnacentral:lncRNA from 1 species